GAUGAACGCUGGCGGCGUGCCUAAUACAUGCAAGUCGAGCGAACGGACGAGAAGCUUGCUUUUCUGAUGUUAGCGGCGGACGGGUGAGUAACACGUGGAUAACCUACCUAUAAGACUGGGAUAACUUCGGGAAACCGGAUCUAAUACCGGAUAAUAUUUUGAACCGCAUGGUUCAAAAGUGAAAGACGGUCUUGCUGUCUCUUAUAGAUGGAUCCGCGCUGCAUUAGCUAGUUGGUAAGGUAACGGCUUACCAAGGCAACGAUGCAUAGCCGACCUGAGAGGGUGAUCGGCCACACUGGAACUGGGACACGGUCCAGACUCCUACGGGAGGGAGCAGUAGGGAAUCUUCCGCAAUGGGCGAAAGCCUGACGGAGCAACGCCGCGUGAGUGAUGAAGGUCUUCGGAUCGUAAAACUCUGUUAUUAGGGAAGAACAUAUGUGUAAGUAACUGUGCACAUCUUGACGGUACCUAAUCAGAAAGCCCCGGCUAACUACGUG
rnacentral:rRNA from 1 species